GAUUUUUUUUUAAUUUCAUCUUCUUCCUCUUAGCGCAACAGCAACACAAUAGCAAACCAGUACACCACCAUCACCACACUUACAUGAAUAAUCUAAACACCAUCAGCACACCUCCAUGAACGCCACCAACAAUCCCCUUCUUCCAUGAAUAUCGGCAAGACGGCGGCUUCGCCGCCAAAUUUAAAGAAAACCCUAACAAUUAAUACAUAAAUUAGGGGAAUGGUUAACCCAAAAUGGUAGGUAUUUUCCCACAGUACUUGGGCUAUAAGAAUGGAGCUUUGUUGAUUUUCAAUUUGACAAAAAUCAAGCUUGAAGAGCUCUGUGCUGGGUUCGAUUAUUGAUGAAAUUGCUCAGAGCAUGUUUAAAGAAGGUACAAUUACAUCCUUUUUGGUGGUUCGAUGGGAAAUCUUGAUAAAGGGUUGUGGGUGUGGUGGUGGUUGUGGCGGUGGAUACUCACAGUCACCUCCAUUGUAGUAGAAGGUUGAAGAUUUAAUGUUGGGGAAUUUCCAACACUAUCCCUUAAUAAUUUGUGAAAAUGACAUUUAUACCUUGAUAUAAACAAACUUUAUUAAUAUAGGAUAUUAACUUUUAUUUUCUCGUGAAAAUGAUAUUUGAGAAAAAAGAAGUGUAGAAGCGAAAUUGAUAGGAGGUUUAUUUCUAAUGUAAAAUCCUUAUAGUUGGACGAUUGUAAUGACCCAGCCCCAUUAAUUUAUUGGACGGAUCUGACGCAUUUAUAACUGGGGCUUUUAUUAAUGGCUCUGCAAAUUAGAAGACAUAAACACGGAAGAACAUAGCCCUGCCCUCCUCCUCCUUCUCCAUUGAAGCGCACUCAACAUCGCACUUGACGUUCUCCAUCGAAUACUUGUAUCCCCCAUUGAAGCAACUUCUGAGAUGAAAGAAAGAACAGAGAAGCUUGAUUACUGGAGAAUGAGAGAAAAAUCAAUAGAGGAAAAAAAGAACAGUAAAAAGGAACUUAUCCAUAGGCAAAGUGGGAAGUGGAUUGAGGAAGGAAAUAUGGAGGCAAUGAUAAUGCGAGCAUUAGUUGAUCAUCCCACCCAACUAUAGAUGCUGGCUAGUUUAUGGGGUCAUUCAUGCAGGGCUGGCAGCUGUUCAACAUUUCAAAUUGUGCUCUCAUUGGUUUCGAGUCGAUUGAUACAGUUUGGAGUUGUGUAUGUUGUCCCAUAAAAUUUGCACAGUGCUACCCACACUGUUGUGAUAUUGUAAUCCAUCUUAUUACUGAGGUGUUUCGAAUCUAUCUCUGAUCUAGGGACACGAAAUUUUCUUAUAGCUAUGCUGUUACAGCCUUAACUAGAGUGGCAGUCUGUCAUAGAGUUUGAGCUUUUGGUGUAUUUCUUUCUCCUAUGAUGAAAAUGGUAAUUUUGACUUGGCGGUGUUAUAAUAGACGUAGUUGGUAUUGGUAAUGACGAUUUUUUGUGUAGCUUGUGCUGAUAAUAAUUUUCCAGUUUGGUUACAGUUAAAAUUUAUUCU